GAAUUCGCCCUUAGAGUUUGAUCAUGGCUCAGGAUAAACGCUGGCGGCGUGCCUAACACAUGCAAGUCGAACGUCCUCUGGCUUCGGCCGGAGGGAGUGGCGGACGGGUGAGGAACACGUGGGGACCUACCCUUCAGUGAGGAAUACCACCGGGAAACCGGUGACAAGACCGCAUAGGCUUGGUGCAAGCCAAGCAAAGCUCCUUUUCGGAGGGGCGCUGGAGGAGGGGCCUGCGGCUGAUUAGCUGGUUGGUGGGGUAACGGCUCACCAAGGCGAC
rnacentral:rRNA from 1 species